rnacentral:lncRNA from 1 species
CUCAUGUUCCAUUUCUUUGAAUUUUUUGAUAACUAUCGGGGUUGAACAUCAUAUAUACAUUUAAAAUACUCAUUGUAUGUUCUCUUGAUUGUCAUCUGUCUCUCUUUUCUGUCUCUUCAUAACUUAUUUCCAGCUGGCUCGAGAAAAAUUACAUGGCAGGGCAAAUUGGUAUUCCAGUAAAUUAAUGAUUACCAACUUCAAAUGGGUUUUCAAGACUGGAAAUAUUGCUCUAACUUACCAGAGUAACACUACUACAGAGGGAUUGUUUAAAUUAAAGGGCACGUACAAAUGCUAUAUAUCCUUCCAGGCUGCGAGAAAAUGCCUCGUAAAGGACUAUGUUAGAGCCAGGCUUUCCUUGACUGAGAGCUACUGUACUACAGCGAAAGCCUCUAUUCAUAUUCAUAAUCAUCAGGCAAAUCAGGGAGCUGACUUGCUUAGAAUCAGUAAGUGCUUUUUUCCUUACUUCUUAACAAAGAACAGAACAUCUGAUAAGAAAAAUAAAAUCCCACACUUGUUAAAAAAAUAGUAAAUGAUGAAAUGUUAGAAAAUUAAUUUUUUACUUUCCAUGAAUAACAAUCAAUAACUACUAAAUAGCGGCCCACAUAAAUUAAACCCAUGUGAAAGUCUUCUUUAGCCAUCUGAUUCUGAAUAUGAAGUGCAUUCAUAUUCGAGAAUCAAUUCAAAGCAAGUGUUUUUUUGGUAACUGAAUAACCAUAAUGAGUAGCAAGAUCAGUUUGUCUUAAUUUAUAUAACUGCUAAAUGUAAAAUAAUAAAAUUGAGUUUUUUCACUUUUUCAUUUCAACUUUGUACAUGAGAGGAAAAAAACUAACUGUGCGUUCCAUCACAUUUUAGUUUCUGCUCAACUACUACAGCCAAAAUCCUUGACAGAUAGUAUUACCCAUUUGUGUCCUUUCAGAACAAACCCCUUGCACACUAGUGCCAUAAAAAAAAAAAAAAAAAUCAAUAGCCUUAGGAGAUCUUUCAAGGAACUCACUGCUAUUGAUUCACCCCUCAAAUAUGACCCAAUUUAGCAAUUCACUCAUGUUG